ACUUGCUUUAGGUUGCUUUAUUUAUAAAAAUCAUUUUGGAUUCUACUAAGUCAUGUUGAUGAGCCAAGGGUUUGAAACAUUUCAUACAGUGCGGGCUUGAUCGGGGUCAUAAGACUUCAUCGUCGGACUAAACCAACUCCGUGCUGUUUCGAAGCAAUUGCUUGUACUGGCCUUCAACGUUUUAACAACUCUAGCCUCCAGCGAUACAAUCACACUGUACUACUUCCAAUGCUGGUGAGACACAAAUCAAAAUAUUUACAAGUUAAAAUUAUUUACAAUAUUUACAUUACUUUUAUUUUUUUUUGUUUCCCGGGAAAUUUUCUUUCUACUCGCAUGCAAAAUCUACUAAAUUGUUUUUGGUAACUAAGCUUGAAUGGGUCGGGGUCAUAAGUUUUCAUCGUCGACCGAAGUCAACUCCUCUCUGUUUCAAGGUCGGAACCUUCUACUGACCAUCAACGUUUAAUUCAACUCCGGUCUCCAGCGAUCCCAUUCGUACAGCAAAGUUGAUUUUAUAAUUUUUCGUUUAGGCAUGCAAUUAAUUCAAAACAAAUUCAAAAAUACAUCACAAUACGUGAAUAAAAUAAAUUAAAAAUCCGGAUAAAAAAAAAUAUUUUCAAACGCGCGCGCAGUUACGGUUAUCAAUAUACCAGUAACGAUCAGUUGAAACGUUUCGCGUGUCGGAGUUCAUCUUCUCUUUUUAUCUUCUCUUUACUGAUAACGUUAUCGUUCUUUACUCAUGUGCGUGCUGUCAAGAUCGAUUUGUCAAGAUCUAAUCAAAUGUGCAGUGGUCAAACGUGGUUCGCAGCAACAAAAUUUGUGAUUCCAGAAAAUUAAGUGAAUUUUGAUCUUACCGGGCGUAAAAUUAUCGUUUUAAAAUCAAUCGAUCGAUGAUUAAGGGCCCUUUGAUCACUUCAGUAAUAAGUUUUACCUCGGUAGAUCACUAAUUCCAAAGUUAUCUUGGGUCACAAUUUUGUUGAUGCUAAAAUAUUUAUGAGGAAAAAAAAAAUGCGAAAAAAGGUAAGUUAAUUGAAAUACUAUUGCAGCUGUGUUGUGAAAACGUUCUACAAAGUAAAGUUCAAAUUAUGACACUAUGGGUUGAUCAAGAUCGAUCGACAACUACCUUGCACACACACCAUGCAUAAGCCAACAUCCCCUCCCAUUGUGUAUCGUUCAAUGAAGUGAUAACAACACUUUCAAGGUUAAGGACUGCGUCUGUUGCAUGUGUAUCGAAGAUACUCCUACACAAUUAACUCCAACUCCUACCAUUCCAAACAAAAUUUCCACAUGUGGUUGGGCUUUUCCCAAAAUCAACAAAACAAACAAAUUAAAAUUUUCUAAAACAACCAAUUAGGUAUACCAUGAAUGAAUCAAACUAUGCUGCGCAAUUCCAUGAAUGAAGCACCAAAUUAUGCUGCCCUGUGACGCUGUAAUCGCCGAACGGCGGAUUUCCAAAUGCUGUUGCCGGAAAAGCUCCUCGUUCAUCGCAGAAUCGUCAUGCUGGCUGCUCAUCUGACUACUUCCAUUCAUGCCUUCAAAUCGGCAGCUGAGAAGACACCUAGCGGCUUCCCAUUCAUAUCAGAGACUGCAUACGAGCUGGUCCCUUUCUUCGCUGUAAUGGUGCACGGCGUGUACGGUGGACCCAACUUCGCGUUGAAGUUGUCCCCUGCCGAUGACUGCUUGAAUGAACGUUUGAAGACCCGCUGACCGAUGUCGAAUGUAGGUACAACAGGUAAAGCCCAUUCAGAAGAAGAAGGUUCAAUGAUGUCAUCUCUCAGCAACAAGUCCACGGCACGAUGUAUUCUACGCUGGAUCUCCGGACUCCAGGGGUACGGAUUUUUCCUGACUGGAUCCGCUCCUUGGAACUCCUCCUUCAGCUCGAUUUUGUGCUCAAUGAGCCCCGUUUUGCCGAGAUUUCCAGGACUCGCUAAUCUGGUCGUCACCCUCGUCGAGCGUCUCGAUACUCUGGUGAACUGACGGACGAAUUCCAAACUUCUGCCAAAAAUCGUAUCCUAGGAUACAACGACGUUUUAGAUCUGGAGCAAUCAAAACAGGUAAGAUCUUCGUCUCUUCAUUGAAUGUAAUUGGUACAUCUGCACAACCUACGACGUUCAUCUGCUGUCCCGCAGCUGUCUUCAAUGACACUGCUGACUCUCUCACCUUCAGUCCUAAUGAAUGGAUCAAUUUUUCUCCUCCUUUGCCAAGAACAGUUCUUGCUGCUCCGCUAUCUAACAAUCCUACGACGGUAAUACCCAGAAACUCAACUCUCGCGAAUGGCCUGGGGUCAUUACUUAGGGUGACGAGUAAAGAAGCAAUCUCAUCAUCCUUCGUAACUUCUCCACUCACUCUCGAAUAGCCAAGUUCACUGAGUACCGCUUCGCAUCCAUCGUGAGGUCUUGUGUAGUUAGCACCGCGACUGUCUCGCCUCACUGAGCAGUCCGCUGCAAGUUUUUUUUCUCGCAGAACGGGCACGUUCGCGUAUCAAACCCAGGGAACCCACAACGUUCACAGAAGACGUUCCGAUUCUUCGGACAUUCGCUGAACCCGUGACCUUCUUCAUGGCAAUUGUAGCACACUCCUCUCUUGAUCGGAAUGUACGCUCUCACGAUCCGUUGAAGUGGGUCAGUUCCGCUUGGACCUUGAACUGGACUCUUCGACCGUUGCUGGUUGUCCUGUUUCGGUUUAGCUUUCUCCUCUCUUUGACUCUGCUCACGAUUCUUCGGCUGCUGAUGAUACUGUUGGUUACGCCGCUGAUACUGUUGUUGUUCCUGCUUGGGUGGACGUUGAUUCCAAUUCCCCUUCUGAAACCCUUUCACCUGCGGUUUCUGCUGCUGAUAGUAACCUCUACCAUCUUGGUUGUUGUUCUGGAACCUAUUUCCGUUUCCAUUUCCUCCGUACGGUCUACGUAGUUCUCCUACUUCUUCAACGUGUGCGGUACGAGGUGUGAACCUACUCUCCUUCCGUUUGUACAACUGCCAAUUAAUCGAGUCGAACCUCUUUCCAAACUCUUUCAUUGCAGCUAUGUCCUGGAUAUUUGCGGCGAGCAUAGCGAUCUGGCAAUCUUCGCGCGUGUUGCGGAACAGGGAGUCGAAUUUCCGUUUUUCGUCCCACUGCUGAGACAUGUUGCGGAAAAUUCUGGCCAUGUCCAGGUAGAAAUCGUGAAAUUUCUCCCGAGCACCCUGCUUCCGAUUGUACACCUGCCGCUCGUACACGUAGUCGAUAUCAAUGGGUAAGAACUCAUUCUUUAACUCCUUAACCAUGCGUCUCCACGUUCCAAGUUCAUUGUUCCCGUUCACCUCCAUGAACCACGAUCUGGCUUUGUGAGUGAACAGGUGGUGCGCACAUUGGAAAAGCUCCGCCUCGGAAAAUCCUUCUGAACGAGCGUUGAAUUCAACCUCUUUCAGGAACUCAUUCAGUCUGCGACCGUUGUCCAUUCCGUCGUAUCGUACUGUCCAUUUAUGAACCGGUAAACGGUUUCGGUUAUCUUUCAACUUUUCAUUCACAGACGACUGUUCGGGUUUGGACUUCAGUUUUUCCUUGUUAUUUUGUUCCGAGUCUCGAGAGUUAUCCAACGAGCCAACCUUUUCCUUCAACCACAUGAAGAAAUCGGGUUCUGCUUUUCCAGUUUCUCCUGAUUGCUUGCCGUUUUCGUUACUCGCGAUUUGAGUGCUGUUGGCGGCCGUGGCGGGAUCUUUUUCGGGUUGUUUCAACUCAAGAGUUUCGAUUCGCUUGAGUAAAGCACUCACAGCUAGUCGUAACUCCUGGUUCUGAUCGACCAAUUUUUGCUUUUCCUCACCAUCGUCGCCAGCAGUUCUCUUAUCGCUUUCACGCCUCUCAACAAGUGCUCCUGUUUGGUCACUCUUCUCAGUACCAUCGCCUCCUGUCCCAUUCUCGUCUCCUGGUGUAUUUUCCUCCAAUUGUUUCUUCGCCACCGUAAUGCUCUGAUUAAUCAACUCCCACUCAGCUGCUCUUACUUCCGGUAUUGGAGAAACAAUGGAGUAGUACACGCUCAACAGUCUAACUAUCUCCACAGCCACCACAGCCAACCUGUCCAAGUCUGCGUUUUCGGUGAUAUGUUUCCUCAAUCGUUCCAUCCUAAAUAACAUGUGGAUCAAUCUCGUUUUGUACACUUGACCAGGUGCUUUCGCCGCACGGCUGGUUUCCAAGUGGUUUUUGAUAAAAUCUAGUUUGUCCUCACACACACCUAGUUCUUCGUCUACCGAAUCACUCACAAACUCAUACGACACAUUAAGCUGCUUUCUUUCCUGUUUCAGAUGAUUGUACAACACCUUCUCCAGCUGACUGCGUGCUCCAUCCAGAGGCAACUUGCGGAUGUGCAACUCAUGGCUGAACUCAUCAAUCGUCAGGUGCGAUGCAUUCAUCCCAUAAUACUGCGACAGCAUAUGUUUCACCUCCAUUAUGGUAUCGUUUAGAAACACAACAAUUAAAAUUUAAAAAGAAAUACUAAAAAUUGGAAAACCUAAAAUUUAUUCACGCUUCCUAAAAGCAAUCAAGCACAAGUGCAAAUUGAAAAAUAGUGCCUAAGUAUCACAGAAGUAAUCAAUUAGAAAAUCCUAGAAAAUCAAGCAAAUUGUACAGGAUACAACAAAUUUAACGAAAAUAAACAACUGUU